ensembl:ncRNA F09E5.20 ncRNA
GGUGCUAAUUCAAUUGUCGAGGUUCUUUGGGCUGUAACCACCCACUGAUGAUGAUGAU